rnacentral:lncRNA from 1 species
AUCUUCCAGUCCAUUUUCUUCAUAAACACCUAAAAUCCUCUCAUCAUCUUGUAAUGUACCUAACUUGCGUAAUUGUCCUUCAAUAUCAUAUAAUCUUUUUCUUUCUUUUCUUUUAAAAUCAUCAACUUUCUUAUACAUAAUAUUUCCAUUCUCCAAUAUAUCAAUAAAACUCGCAUCAAAGGCACCUUCAUCUCGCGAGAGUACCUCCUCUUGUGUACCUCCAUAAUCUCGCUUUAUAGUGGUACCUCCCAAAAAUCCUUAAAUCCUUCAACAAUCUUUGGCAAUGGUUUCUCCCUCAACCUAUCUCGAUUCCGUUCAUGGUU